rnacentral:rRNA from 1 species
UACAGAGGGGGCAAGCGUUGUUCGGAAUUACUGGGCGUAAAGGGCGCGUAGGCGGCCUUCUAAGUCGAACGUGAAAUCCCUGGGCUCAACCCAGGAACUGCGUCCGAUACUGGGAGGCUUGAAUCCGGGAGAGGGAUGCAGAAUUCCAGGUGUAGCGGUGAAAUGCGUAGAUAUCUGGAGGAACACCGGUGGCGAAGGCGACAUCCUGGACCGGUAUUGACGCUGAGGCGCGAAAGCCAGGGGAGCGAACGGG